rnacentral:rRNA from 1 species
AGAGUUUGAUCAUGGCUCAGAUUGAACGCUGGCGGCAGGCUUAACACAUGCAAGUCGAGCGGAGAGAGGUAGCUUGCUACUGAUCUUAGCGGCGGACGGGUGAGUAAUGCUUAGGAAUCUGCCUAUUAGUGGGGGACAACAUUUCGAAAGGAAUGCUAAUACCGCAUACGUCCUACGGGAGAAAGCAGGGGAUCUUCGGACCUUGCGCUAAUAGAUGAGCCUAAGUCGGAUUAGCUAGUUGGUGGGGUAAAGGCCUACCAAGGCGACGAUCUGUAGCGGGUCUGAGAGGAUGAUCCGCCACACUGGGACUGAGACACGGCCCAGACUCCUACGGGAGGCAGCAGUGGGGAAUAUUGGACAAUGGGCGCAAGCCUGAUCCAGCCAUGCCGCGUGUGUGAAGAAGGCCUUAUGGUUGUAAAGCACUUUAAGCGAGGAGGAGGCUACUUUAGUUAAUACCUAGAGAUAGUGGACGUUACUCGCAGAAUAAGCACCGGCUAACUCUGUGCCAGCAGCCGCGGUAAUACAGAGGGUGCAAGCGUUAAUCGGAUUUACUGGGCGUAAAGCGCGCGUAGGCGGCUAAUUAAGUCAAAUGUGAAAUCCCCGAGCUUAACUUGGGAAUUGCAUUCGAUACUGGUUAGCUAGAGUGUGGGAGAGGAUGGUGGAAUUCCAGGUGUAGCGGUGAAAUGCGUAGAGAUCUGGA